rnacentral:rRNA from 1 species
AUUGAACGCUGGCGGCAUGCUCUACACAUGCAAGUCGAACGGUAACAGGGAGCUUGCUCCGCUGACGAGUGGCGAACGGGUGAGUAAUGCGUCGGAACGUGCCGAGUAGUGGGGGAUAACGCAUCGAAAGGUGUGCUAAUACCGCAUACGUACUGAGGUAGAAAGGGGGGGACCUUCGGGCCUCACGCUAUUCGAGCGGGCGACGUCUGAUUAGCUAUGUGGUGAGGUAAAGGCUCACCAAGGCGACGAUCAGUAGCGGGGCUGAGAGGAUGGUCAGCCGCACUGGUACUGUGACACGGCCCGGACUCGUACGGGAGGCAGCAGUGGGGAAUGUUGGACAAUGGGCGGGAGCCUGAUCCAGCCAUGCCGCGUGUCUGAAGAAGGCCUUCGGGUUGUAAAGGACUUCUGUCCUGGAGCGAAUGCCUGGUGUUAAUAGCAUCGGGAGCUGAGAGUACCGGAAGAAUAAGCACCGGCUAACUACGUGCCAGCCGCCGCCGUAACAC